GGUUGUAGCUCAGUGGUAGAGUGCUUGUCUUGCAUGCAUGAGGCCCUGGGUUCAAUCCUCAGCACUA
rnacentral:tRNA from 1 species